UCGAACGGCAGCACAGUAAGAGCUUGCUCUUAUGGGUGGCGAGUGGCGGACGGGUGAGGAAUACAUCGGAAUCUACUCUUUCGUGGGGGAUAACGUAGGGAAACUUACGCUAAUACCGCAUACGACCUACGGGUGAAAGCGGAGGACCUUCGGGCUUCGCGCGAUUGAAUGAGCCGAUGUCGGAUUAGCUAGUUGGCGGGGUAAAGGCCCACCAAGGCGACGAUCCGUAGCUGGUCUGAGAGGAUGAUCAGCCACACUGGAACUGAGACACGGUCCAGACUCCUACGGGAGGCAGCAGUGGGGAAUAUUGGACAAUGGGCGCAAGCCUGAUCCAGCCAUGCCGCGUGGGUGAAGAAGGCCUUCGGGUUGUAAAGCCCUUUUGUUGGGAAAGAAAAGCAGUCGGUUAAUACCCGAUUGUUCUGACGGUACCCAAAGAAUAAGCACCGGCUAACUUCGUGCCAGCAGCCGCGGUAAUACGAAGGGUGCAAGCGUUACUCGGAAUUACUGGGCGUAAAGCGUGCGUAGGUGGUGGUUUAAGUCUGUUGUGAAAGCCCUGGGCUCAACCUGGGAAUUGCAGUGGAUACUGGAUCACUAGAGUGUGGUAGAGGGUAGCGGAAUUCCCGGUGUAGCAGUGAAAUGCGUAGAGAUCGGGAGGAACAUCCGUGGCGAAGGCGGCUACCUGGACCAACACUGACACUGAGGCACGAAAGCGUGGGGAGCAAACAGGAUUAGAUACCCUGGUAGUCCACGCCCUAAACGAUGCGAACUGGAUGUUGGGUGCAAUUUGGCACGCAGUAUCGAAGCUAACGCGUUAAGUU
rnacentral:rRNA from 1 species